UUUGCACAACUAUUUACUCAUCUCUUUCAUUUGCCAUUUCUAAACUCCAUUUUUUUUUCUCUUUCUAACCAUUCAAAAAUUCUCUCUUAGUAUCUAAGACUUUUAUGUAGUUUUACUGGUUUUUUCAAGUCAGAUUGAAAAAAUUAUAUAAGUUUAUCUUUCAAUUUUAAUAAUAUCACCGGUAUUUUUCUUCUCUAAAAAUGUCUUAAUUGAUUUGUCUAGAUAAAUCUUAUAAAAAACUAAGUCGAUUUAUUAAUUUUUAUGUAGAAAAUUAUUUUUUGUAGUAGAUUUUUGAUAAAUUAGUUUAACAUGUGAUAAUAUGAGUCAAUCCUUUAUAUUUUAUAACAUUCAAUCUAGUUAAUUUUAAACGAUUUAGAAAAUACUAAACGAUUUUAUCCUUUGAUUUUUAUAGAAUUUUUUUUUGUUUUGUUUGAAAAUUUUUAUUUGAUUUCUGUAGAUUUUUCAUAUGAAAAAAUAGAUCGAUUUAUCAUUUCUUUAAGUUGAAAAAAAAAUUUUUAGUGAUUAUUUUUUUUUCUAAAAUUGGUUUGUUUAUGAUACGAUGAAUCGACUUUUCAAUAUUUAAAAGGGUUUUCAUAUAAUAUUAGGAGAAAUUUCACAAUUGGUUUCUGGUUUAUCUACUCCUCUAAAUAAAAUCAGGUAUCCCUCUUUCAUAUAUAUGAUAAUACUUACAAUUUUUUUUAUAGAUGUUUAUACUUUUUUAACAUGUAGUUAACUGGAUUAUAAUUUGACCUACAGUUUUGUCCAUGUUUGAUUUUGAAUGAGUUAACAAAAUUGUUAAAAUAAUUUCUAGAUUAUCAUUCAACUAAUCAGCUAAUUUUUUGGGUUAAUGUUUUUAAAAAUUAUAUGACCUUUAAAAGGUAGAACAUAAUUUGGUUCAUAAAUUAAUACUAUAUGUGUACAGUAAUUAUGCAUGUUUUAUUUUGAGUAAUUUAACAUAGUUAUUAAGCAAAUUUCCAGAUCGAUCUAUUAUUUAAACUGAGUGAUAUUUUUUUGGUUAACUCUAAUAAAUAAUAAAUAAUAUGACGCUUGGAAAAAGUAAAUCUGUUUGUUCAUAUCAAUAUGUAAUAAUCUUCUAACUAUUUUCCGAUUAUAAAUUAUAAUUUUGUUGUACUUUAAGUGUGUAUAUACAUGAAAAAAAUAAACUACUCGGUAUUUAUUAAAAAAUGUCUUCAAUUUUCCUUUAAAAAUAACUUUAAUAAAAUUGUUUUAUACAAUUAUUACUUGAAAAAAAAAACAAUAUGAAAAACAUAUCUAUUAUUAUACAUUAUGUUCUUUGGUCUAGAUGUUUAAAAAGACUGUUUGAUGUAAAUUAACAUGUUAAACAAUUACCUUUAUUGUUUAAUGAUGAAUGCAUUUUAUUUAUACAUUUGAUAAUAGAACUAACUGUUGAUCUGUUCAAUUUUUAUACAUGAAAAAUUAAUUCAUGCUGUUAACAAUGUGGGGGCGUUUGUUAAAGAUAUGUACACAAAGCUUGGAAUCACUUGGUUCUUACAGAAUCAAAUGAAGAUGGAGCUUGAUCUUAUCACUUCUUAAGCCAAUAAUCAUCAACUUUUAAAAAGUCAAGUAUUAUCUUUUGGAGCUUGGAUAUCAUUUUCUUUUGGGUAAUUGAAGAUCUACUUCUUUGAAGCUUGGAACCUUGAAGACUUUCUCUUUUGGAGCUUAUUUCCUUAAGUUCUUAUUAACCUAUUAUUAUUCUCUUACUUGGUUUAGCACCACCUUCGGAGGAAAAUGUAUUUUGCAGGAAAAUUUAGCUCAGGUUUCGAUCCAGGCCUCAACUUAAAUUAUUCUAUCGAGAACUUAGCUUCAAUGAUUUUACUUGAUGACUAUAUUGUACUUAUGUUUUUUUUUUUGUCGUAUUUAAUUAAACCUUAUUUUAUAUUUUCUCAGUUUAAGAUUUUUAUUUUUUUUACUUAUGUUUUGAACGAUUUUUUGUUCAAAUGGUUUUUAGGAGUUCGGUGUUUUACACUUCCGCAUUAUUUAUCUUAAGUAUAAUUAUUAAUGUUAUUUAUGUAUCGAGAGUGCCGCUCCUGCUACACCUGUAGUUUACAAUUUGCAUACAAUUCAGUGGUUUAGUUUUGUAUUUAAGAUUCUUAUAAAUUAAAGUUGUAAAUAUAACCUUUUGCAG